AAAAAAUAUUGUGAUUAUAAUAAUAUUUUUUUUAUAAAUUUAUGAUAACGCACAAAUAUGCUAUUAGCAUGUGGCAACACACGGACAAAGCAACUAGUGUGUGUGUGUGUCUAUAUAUAUAUAUCACGUGGUCUCUUGCAAGUCGGUAAAGGAGGAGAAAGGUGGAGGGGCGUCCUGAAGAAACGAGGUCCACAGUGAUGGGUAUCGUCUUAGAAGAGAAGACGUGCAUUUAAAGUUGCACUGAAUCUUUUGGCUCUUGAAAUCACAAUUGAAUCCGAUCACUGACCCAUCACAAUAACCAUCUUAUUCAUGUCUUCUAAUAAUGUUUGCCUGGUCGGGGCCAGCGACGGGAAGGAGCCCACCCCGCCAGUAUUUUCAGAUACUUUCUUGUGAGUGGCAUUUGCACUUCUCAAUUGUUACGUUUCCGGCUAGGGUUACGUGUUGCGUUGGAGACGGGACACGUCAACUACUGAUAUUAUCAGUUUUGGUACGGCUUCAGCUUUUGAUAAGGUCGGAGCUGCUAGCUAUGGUUGCAGUAGCCGUGAUUGUAGUUGUAAAAGAGUGGCAAUGUGCUGUUAUAGCUACUGCAACCAUAGCUGACAAAUGGUUUUCAAAAUCUUUAUUUUAUAGCUUGUAACUUUUAGCUUUCAACUGGUUUCCAAAACUUUACUGAAUAUCGUUUUAGUAUUUUUUGAGAUUACGAGGGUUGAUCGUGUUUUUUAUUAAAAAAUAUAAUAAAAUAAAAUUAUUUUAUUUUUAAAAAAUUAUUUUUAAUAUCAAUUUAUUAAAAUAAUUUGAAAAUAUAUAUAACAAUAUUAUUUUAAACAAAAAAAUUUUAAUUUUUUUUUAAAUGAAUAUGAUUUCAAGAUGUAUAGUUUUUGUUGAAAAAUCUCCUAGCUAAAUACAGCCGGAGAUCAUGAAUUGCCGAAGGGGCAUUUAGAUGCCUUGUGGAGAUCCAGACGAUACCGCAGCAGCGACCAUAAAAUACUUCGGUUCUUGUUAUGCGUUUUGGAGGAAGCAUUUUGUGACGUUAGCGAAGUUGGAAAAUGGAUUCUGGUGAGGGUUGCUUGGUUCGUCAACGUCCUCUCCUUUUUUGUUGGCGUCGAUUUGAGUUUGAAAGGCUGAUUGGACAGGGAUAAGACGAUGUGACAACUUAGCUAAAAGCCGUGAGCGAGUCCAUCGAGAUGAAAAGUAAAGUGGGCACAAACGAAAAGAAUUAACAAGGGCGGAGUGCCGAGGCCGAAUUGACAAGUUUAACCUCAUAAGGUCAUAACAACAUCCCAAAACAUCAGGGUACUUUGGUAAAUGAGAGCCCCGUCAGUCCACUUUGCUGCUUGGGAUCCCGCAAAAGUGGAUAAAACCACAUUUAUCGGAGAGAUUCGGGCCCUUCUUUUUCAUGUCUUUUGUGCUUCUUCCAUUCCCUCGCUCCUUUUAUCAAUCAUUACAUGAUUUUUUCUUCGAAUCUGUUUUUUCUGUUUUAAAAAUAUUUUAGAAAACUCUUAUUUUUUUAUUUUUUCUUUACUUAAAUUUAAUAUUUUUUUAUUUUUUGGUAUUUUUAUAUUGUUUUUAUAUGAUAAUGUUAAAAUUAUUUUAAAAAAAAAUAAAAAAAAAUUAAUAUAUUUUUUAAAAAAAGAAAUACUGCCAGUUACCCCCAAGUUGCCAUGAACGAAUGAUGCUCCAAAUAAAACAAAACAGAGCAUCAAACCCUUUUUGAAGUUUCCUCUCUGCCAGGUUGAUGGAUUAGAGUUCCCUUUCAACCUCAGCGAGUACGAUACCUGCUGAGGAAAGCUACGGCCUACCUCUCUUCUUCUUUUUGGGUGCUAAUUUAAAGUAAUUAACGGGGUAUCUUUAUAGGUCAAGUUAUAUGCCUCUACUAUUAAUUAAUCUUUGCUAAUUUAAAGAUAUCCCGACCGUCCAUGAGAAAGAAAAUGAUGAAUUACUUUUCCAAUUCUCAUUGAUGUGCGGCCAUUGAUCGGGUUUACUUUUCCAGUUCAUAGUAACAUCAGCUUUUCUCAUUUUCCCCGUUGCCUUGGCACUGGAGUAUCCUUGUGUUUUUUUUUUUUUAAUUAUUAAUGUAGUAAUGAUUGUUUUUUAAAAUACUUUUAUUUAAAAAUUUAUUAAAAUAAUAUUUUUUUAUUUUUAACAUCGCUCUAUCAAAAUAUAUUUAAAAACAUAAAUUAAAAAAAAAAUAAACAUCCCUCGUCGCAAUUAUUGCAAAUAGUAGCUUUAUCUCUGAAGUUGACCUGUGGUCCUUGAAGCUACUGGGGUGCUUUAUUUUGACCUAUCUAUGUUUCAUGGAAACAUUGUUUGCGAAAUAUUGCGAGUAGGUUUUCUUGGUGGGAAGUAUUACACACUCACAUGUGCUUGACAGGCCAGGCAGCCGCAUUCACUUAACUGAGAUUCAGUGUUCUUGUCCACAACUCUGCUGUAUAGAUCAGUAAAUACGUGUAAGGUAGUUUUCCAUGCAGUGUGUGCAAUCCAAAGCGCCAUGUGACCUUUUACUUGCUGCUCUGAAGAUUCUCCAAGAUCCAUCUGGGUGCUGUCAUCCUUUUUUAUUUAUAUAUUUGUUUGAAAUUUAACCCAAAUUUGUGAACCAAACUCAUGAUCUGUUUAUAUAUAUAAUAAAUUCUUGUAUUUUUAUAUAAUAAAAAAAAGUUACAUGUUGAACUACUA